UCUCGCCACAAAUUUUCUUCCCAAAAAGUGUGGCGGACGUUGGCGGACGUUUUUGCCGCCGCAGCCCGUCGUGGCGCGCCGCAACCCACAAAAAAUCACUGCAGUAGAAAUAUCCCGAGGCCCAGUCCACACUCAUCCUUCUCCGAGAGAAAAUGGCGCUCUCCGCUGCCCCAGUCUGCCGCCUUCGCCGCGCGUAGGGUCCGCUGUCGCUUAGCGUAGGAGCCACGCUCGCCGCAUCCAAGGGCCGGCGAGGCCGUCGCCCGUGCUGCCUGCACUGCACCCUGCGUAGGGGCCACUCUUGCUGCGCUGAAGGGCCGCCGCCGCCGCUCCUACUGUGCGUGUCCAAGGGCCAUUGCCGCUUGGGUCUUCUUCCACGCAGAAGAAAUCACUGAAGCAGCUGAAGAUUCAUCCAUCCCGUGGUGUUGGGUGAUGCGUAGCAAUCAAUCCCUGCAGCUGAAGAAAGUUCAGGCACGGCAACAUCUAGGCAGAGAAGAUAAUUCUAUUUUUCCCCUUUGCCAGAUUUUUUCUUCUAUAUUUUUUAAUUCCAUUAUUUAUGUAUGGACAUUUGACAUUUUUCUGUGAUUAGUAGAAUCCAGUAAAAAAUUAUUGUUCAUUCUGCUAACUUUCCAUAAGCAAGGGUCGCUACUAAUUUCAUUUUUUUUUGUGAAUGUAUGUUUUAGAUGGGUCAAAGAAAAUUAUACUUGCAAUAUUACUUGGAGUACUGCCAUUCUUCCCUUUGAAAACACAAGUAAAAAUUGUGAUGGUUUGUUGCGCUCUUCAUAAUUGGAUCUUACACUUUGGCUAGGCUAGUUGCUUCUUUUGUAAAUAGUUCAAGCGUGGAUCAAUUUGGCUGGGUUGUACUGAUCCAUGCUUGGCUAGUUGCUGGUUUUAUAAUUACUAUUGUAAUCUGAAUCUCCUAGGCUUAAAUCUUCUAUAUAUGUUAUUCUAUGGAAAAUGGGUGUGAUCUUACUGUGACAAUGAGGUUUUUUUCAUUUAUUUGUGGCCGCAAACCAAACAGAUACCACAACAUUUUGCCAUACUUUUGUGGUAGUAAUCCAAACAGCUGCCACACUUAUUUUGCCAAAUCUUAGUCACUAACCAAACAUCCUGUUUUUGCCACAGUUUGUGGCUUGCCACACUUAUGGCUGCUACUUAAGAAUUAAGAUUAGGCAUGGCAAUGUGUGGCUGGCAUCCAGUCGCGCGGCCGGGACACAGCAGCCGCCAGCCAGCGAGCUUUCAGGGCCCACAGCUUGCAGCAAGGAUCAGAAAAGGCUAGGCUGCACCUAUGAGGGUUAAGGGUUCGGUUGCAGUGUUCGAUGGCAUCCAAAACCAGAAAAUUGACAGAUCGAACCCAAGACAACGAUCUCAAAGAAAGAGGUUGGGAAAGAAUGUAGAACGGAAGUUAAGCUGACACAAAAUAAAAAAACGAAGGUGUGUAAUCUCAGGCAAAGCCGAAAGCAGCCUCCAUCGUACAAGUACAUAAUAUGCUCAUAGAAUAGCACAAAGGUGAUGAAGGGGUCAUCAACUCAUCAUCAUAUCGUUAAUCAUUAUAUUGCCGGCGGCGUUUCCUAUAUAUCCUACCAGCUCCGGCCGAUCUUGCGGUGGUGCGGCGUUGCCGGCGGCGCUGGUGGCGGCGGGGGAGCACCGGGGUGUCUGCUGCACUCGGGCUCAGGGUCGGGGCACAUGUGGUGCACAGUGCCUCCUCGAGGUGACGGCGGCGCCCAGCCGUCAUGCCCUCCAUCUGGCUGAGCAACUGCACGGUGCACAUAUCAAUGCAUUAUGGCCUCCAUCAUCAACAGAAAUUCUUAGUGAAGUUACAGUAAGUACUGCUCCUAAUUGGACAUGAUAUAUACAUACAACGUAACAUACCGUCGGCCUCCGAGCAGUCGACGAUGACGGAACAAGAGACGAUGACAGCCAGGAUGACCGUCAUCACAUACACGAAGCGAAGACAAGAACACCUCUUCCUCGUCAUGGUGUGGUCAGAAGUGGUGGUGUAUAGGUAUCAGUAUAGCAAGCCUCAGCAAGACCUGCGGACAGGUCCGGCGCCGGAUGGUGGACACCGUCGUCGCCGACAUCCAACCACACAAUGAAAAGGCGACGUACGGAGGCAUCAGAGCAUUAAUUGACAGAACCCAAGACAACGAUCUGAGAGAAAUAGGGUGGGAAAGUUUGAAGUUCGGCAAUUAAGCUGAUACUAAAGCGAAGGUGUGUCUUAGGCAAAGCCGAAAGAGUUUGAAUAUAGAAGAGCAGCAAAGUAAUCAUUGCGUACCAGAGGCUGAUUGGGCGUCCGACGAGCAGCGGAUGAAGGAGCAAGACAUGGCGAUGGCCAGUGUCAUCGCUACCGCGUAGUACGUCACUGGUAACGAAGAGAGGCAACGAGACAACUUCUUCAUGGUUCAAAGUAACCAAAAUAUCAGGAGCCCAGGGGAGUUUGGAAUUGGAUGGUAGGGGCUCCUUCUCUUCGGCUUCUCCUGCCUAUUAAUAAGACCUUGGGAGUACCGGAGCAACUCAACUCCAAUAAUGGACGAUGGACGACCACCGGAGAUCGAGAGUAAAUGCAGUCAAAGGAUGUGAGUGUUGUUUAUUUGGCUGAUAAGUUAUAGUUGAAAGUAUAAUUCUAAUUUAUUGUAAGAGAAAAAUAUUAUUAAAUGAAUGUCAUAUUCGAUAGAUAACUCAAUAGAAAGACUGGUUGAUUCAGCCUUCGGCAUGCAGCCAGGCAGACAACUAACCUGCUGCUACCUGGUACUCUUCCACUA